rnacentral:rRNA from 1 species
AGCUCCAAUAGCGUAUAUUAAAGUUGUUGUGGUUAAAAAGCUCGUAGUUGGAUCUCGGCAAACUGAGGGCGGUUUACUUGCUAGUACUACUGCCCUAUAGUUUGUAUUAUUGCUGGAGGUUUAGAGGUGAUCUUAAUCGAUUGUCUCUGGAUGCCAGCAGGUUUACUUUGAAAAAAUUAGAGUGCUCAAAGCAGGCUUAUACGCCUGAAUAUUCGUGCAUGGAAUAAUAGAAUAGGAACUUGUUCUUAUUUUGUUGGUUUUCGAGAAUCAAGUUAAUGAUUAAUAGGGACAGUUGGGAGCAUUUGUAUUCAAGCGAAAGAGGUGAAAUUCUUGGACCGUUUGAAGACAAACUACUGCGAAAGCAUUUGCCAAGAAUGUUUUCA